rnacentral:pre_miRNA from 1 species
ACAUAAUACCGUGUUGAUUGACUUUUGUUGAGCAAAGCAGCGACACGGGUUGCUGCUUUGCCCAACAAAAGUCAAUCAAUACGGUAGUUCCGUUCA